rnacentral:rRNA from 1 species
UUUUGGAGGGAAAGUCUGGUGCCAGCAGCCGCGGUAAUUCCAGCUCCAAUAGCGUAUAUUAAAGUUGUUGCAGUUAAAAAGCUCGUAGUUGAAUUUCGGGGUUGGCUCUCCUGUCGGGCCAUGGGCUGGACUGGGGUGGGCAGUUUCUACCUUCUGGGGAACCAUCAUGUUCUUAAUUUGGCGUGGUGGGGAACCAGGACCUUUACCUUGAAAAAAUUA